UUUGUACUCCCUCCGUUCGGAAUUACUUGUCAUAAAAAUGGAUGUAUCUACAACUAAAAUACAUCUAGAUACAUUCAUUUCUUCGACGAGUAAUUCCGAACAGAGGGAGUAGUAU
rnacentral:pre_miRNA from 1 species